rnacentral:rRNA from 1 species
GAUGAACGCUAGCGGCAGGCUUAAUACAUGCAAGUCGAGGGGCAGCAUGAGUAGCAAUACUUGAUGGCGACCGGCAAACGGGUGCGGAACACGUACACAACCUUCCUUUAAGCGGGGAAUAGCCCAGGGAAACUUGGAUUAAUACCCCAUAAAAUAUUGAAGAGGUAUCUCUUUAUUAUUAAAGAUUUAUCACUUAAAGAUGGGUGUGCGGCUGAUUGGAGAGUUGGCAGGGUAACGGCCUACCAAGUCUACGAUCAGUAGCUGAUGUGAGGGCGUACUCAGCCAGACGGGCACUGAGACACGGGCCCGACUCCUACGGGAGGCAGCAGUAAGGAAUAUUGGUCAAUGGACGAAAGUCUGAACCUGCCAUGCCGCGUGAAGGAUGAAGGUCCUCUGGAUUGUAAACUUCUUUUAUAUGGGACGAAAAAAGGUCUUUCUAGACCCCUUGACGGUACCAUAUGAAUAAGCACCGGCUAACUCCGUGCCAGCAGCCGCCGUAACAC